GGUACCUUUUCUUGGCUGAUCCCUUUCGCUGUAUGGCAUGCUCGUUUGGGUUAGGCGUCGGCUAAGAGUGCUCGGAGCGUGGAUUAACUCCAGUCUCCAAUCAGGUAAUCUCUAAGCUUAGAUGGUUUAGAGCUGCGAGGGACUCAGAGGAAGCCACACAUACUGUUUAUGUUACAGUUUUGAUUAUUACUUUUAAAUGUUUUUAUGUGGGUUGUAGUAAAGUGGUUGUAAUUUUUUGGAUUUCAAAUUUGGAAUUUUAUUUAUUGUUCUUAUAA